GUGAAACCAGCAUGGUGAGGGCUGAAGGUGAGUAAAAACUCUUUAUUUUCUUUUUUACCGGGUUGGAGGCUUCCAGUAGAUAGGAGAACACUUUACCAUUUCAAAUACAGAUAAUUAUUUUUCUGCCAUCGACCACUCAUUCCUUUGUUAUAUCCUUUUAACAGCAUUAAGCUUGUUUCUCAUUUUUUUUUUGUUUAUAUAGGUACAUAUGCUUUGUAGUGAUGACACACUGUGUGGUAUUUAGAUUAAUUGGAUUAAGACUCUUGUCUUUUCCCCUUAAGUCUAAAAUAUAAGGUGAGUUUCAAUCUAUGUAUUAUAGUCCAUUACAUAUCAAUAAAAUAGAUUUUACCCAUAGUUUGACUAAUUUGUAUAAUAUAUGGGUUAUGUCUGGCUACAUAUCCAUGAGAACAAGGCAGUCAUUGUAUUGGGGUUUCUAUAAAGGUUGUCAAAAAAGAUGGGUUAAUUAAAUGUUGGCUACUUUUAAUUUAUUUAACAAGUCAUUAAUGCAGACAAAUAUCUGCUUUCCUGUGUAACCUUGCAUACUAAAAAUGAGAUUAUCCCCUUGGAUAAUCUGAGUAUCACAGACUAGCCCCACACAUAUGUAGACAUAUUCAGUUGUAAUGAACUAGGCAGCAUAUGAUUGAGAAAUGUAACUGAAUGAAACAUUUUCGACAAUAAACAGUAUUUCCAGAGAUAAGUGUGGGACUACCUUCAAUGAUAUGAAAGCAGAAUAGGCUUUAGAAUGAAUACGAUUUCUGGAAUAAAUUAGCUGAACAGAACUUAAAAAUUAAGAUGUGCAGGUUCAUAUGAUAUGCCCUUUUACAACUAGUGGUGUCACCAAUAAAUACAGUAUACACCACCACUGCCUGCUGAUUAACAGGGGCAUUUAAAUGCACCAGUACCUGACGAGAUGUACUUGAAAUACUGAAACGUGAACUGGGCUGUUUUUUGUUUUAAAUAUAUAUAUAUAUAUAUAUAUAUAUAUAUAUACACAUAUAUAUACACUUUAAUAUAUGUAAUGAGGCUGAUAGGUACCACUCCUGUGGCAGUAUAGCAGAUGGUGAUGGUCGAGCAAAGCUAAUGUCCUUGGUUAAAUCCUAAUGUAAAUAAUUACAGGCAGGUUGUCUCCCAGUUCCAGCAAUCUAGCUGUGGAAUGGAAUUGUUAUAGGCAGGCUGCACCACAGCUCUAAUGUUUAAGUUGUUUUGAUAAUUCCUGUAACUAUGUGUUGCAUAAAAUGGGACACCCCAAGCUUUUGGGCUUUAUGCUGACUGAUAAUGUUAGCUCCCGUGCUAAUUGAUUUAUGAUUAUUAGUUUUUCGGUUGGGUCAAGCCCUCAUGCCCUAAUAAAAAGGGGGUGCAAUGUCAGUUAUCCUUACGGAGAUAUUUAUCUUUAUUAAAGUGAAACUAUAGUGCCCUCUCCGUCAAGCCCUCUCCACCCCCGUUAAGCAGGAGGGGUUAAAACCUCUUCUGUCACUUCCUUUGUUCCAGUACCGAUGUCCCGCAGCGCUUGCCUGGACUCUGCCUCCACUCUUCCCCCGCCGAUGUCAGCCAGCGAAAAAUAUCUAAUACGUAUGCGCGGCGAUAGCCUCGCUCGCAUUGGGAGGUACAGUGUCAUAUAGGACGUACAGCGUCAGUUUGGCAACCAAAAGUAGACAGCCACUAGAGGUGGAGUUAAUCCAAUAAAUACAAUAAGUACCUGCAAUUUACCUACAAUAAAUACCUGCAAUAAAUACCUUUUUAGGUUUAAGUGGACUGGGACUGUGCACCCAGACCACUGCAAUGAGCUGAAGUGGUCUGGGUGCCUAUAGUGUCCCUUUUACUUUUGUACUAUGUUUCAGAUUUUUAACCACUAAAGUUCAAUUUACAGAGCAGGAUAUAAAAACUUUUAAAGCAAGUUAACAUAUGAUGGAAAAUGUAAACCAUUUUUUAAAUGCAGACUGUGUGAAUCAUAGCCAGGGGAGUUGCGGCUAGGGCUUCAUAAACAGAAACAAAUUUAACUUCUAAAUGGCAGAGAAUUGAGCAGUGAGACAGCAGCGGCAUGAUACCUAUAGUAUCCCUUUCUUUUAAUUGAAAGUCUAGUACUGAUACUAUAAAUGUUUAACCUAAAGAUUAGUACGUUUGUAAAGGUGUGUCUUAUGUUAUCUGAAAGUGUUUUAUGGUUUAGGUUUAUUAGUUAUGUAUUUAACCCCUUAAGGACGGAGCCAAAUGUACACGUUGUGAACGAAACAAAAUGUAAACAAAAACUAGCAUUUGCGCUACAUGUCUGUCCAACCGUAAUUCACCUCUUUCAUAUUAAAUGCACCCACCCUUAUUAUAUAUCAUUUUAUUCAGGGGAAACAGGGCUUUCGUUGAACAUCAAAUAUUUAGCAAUGAAACAUAAUUUAAUUUGAAAAAAAUGGGAGAAAAUAAGAUUUUUUUUAUUGUUUUAGUUCUACAUGACAUUUUAACUGUCAAUGUCAUAAUACUGUUUGCUUUUACUGCAAUAAAAUACACAUAUUUGUAUUCAGCGAUGUCUCACGUGUAAAACAGUACCCCCUAUGUACAGGUUUUAUAGCGUUUUGGGAAGUUACAGGGUCAAAUAUAGCACGUUACAUUUGAAAUUGAAAUUCUCCAGAUUGGUUACGUUGCCUUUGGGACUUUAUAGUAGCCCAGGAAUGGAAUUUACACCCACAAUGGCAUACCAUUUGAAAAACCAUUAGUUUUUUACUGUUUCCAUUUCCUUCACCCUGUUUUAAGGAUCUACGUCCAGGUUGUUAUUAUUUUAAAAUACCUAUUGAUAACACUAUAGUUCCUGUGUUUCAUACAUAUACAUAUACAUACAUACAUAUAUUCAACAUCUGUUAGAUUAUGUAAUUUUGGCCCUGUAUGCACUUUAUGAACACAGCUCUCUCCUUUUCUUCAAACACUGUGGAAAUAAGUACCAUUUCCAAAUAGAAACCACCUUUAAUGUAAUCGAUUUAACAAAUUUGCAUAAAAUGUACAUUUAUUCAGCACACCUCAUAUUUAUGAAUGUUUACAGUAUGUUAACAAAAUUACUUCAUUAAAGUUUGCAGAGAGGUGGAACGCGUACAUGCGUUCCAAACGUGAACUGAUCGUCCGACCGUGAUAACAUUUAGAAGAGGACGUUAGAAGCCGCGUCAUCGAAAAGAAGACGGAAGUAAAGGAACAACGCCAGGUGAUCGUAAUUCACCAUCAAAAAGAAGCAUAUAAGAAUGGUUGAGCGAGAAAGAAGACCACCAAGCAACUAAGGAAGCCUUUCAAUAGGCGAAACACGUCUUGCAAGUUUUCUACUUUAUGUGGACUAUAUUUAUUAUACCACUUUUUACCUUUUUUGUUUUAAUCCCAUUUUAUACUAAUAAAGUACUUCCUUGUUUUGGAAAUC